rnacentral:rRNA from 1 species
AUUGAACGCUGGCGGCAUGCCUAACACAUGCAAGUCGAACGGCAGCACAGUGCGUAGCAAUACGUAUGGGUGGCGAGUGGCGGACGGGUGAGGAAUGCAUCGGAAUCUACCCAGUAGCGGGGGAUAACCUGGGGAAACUCAGGCUAAUACCGCAUACGACCUAUGGGUGAAAGCGGGGGACCGUAAGGCCUCGCACUAUUGGAUGAGCCGAUGCCGGAUUAGCUAGUUGGUAGGGUAACGGCCUACCAAGGCGACGAUCCGUAGCUGGUCUGAGAGGACGAUCAGCCACACCGGAACUGAGACACGGUCCGGACUCCUACGGGAGGCAGCAGUGGGGAAUAUUGGACAAUGGGGGAAACCCUGAUCCAGCAAUGCCGCGUGUGUGAAGAAGGCCUGCGGGUUGUAAAGCACUUUCGGAGGGGAC